UUCCGGUUGAUCCUGCCGGACCCCACUGCUAUCGGGAUAGGACUAAGACAUGCUAGUCGCGUGCCUCAGCCAAAACGAGGCACGGCGCACAGCUCAGUAACACGUGGCUAACCUGCCCUUAGGACGAGAAUAACCCCGGGAAACUGGGGCUAAUGCUCGAUAGGUGAAGAACUCUGGAAUGAGUCUUCACUUAAAAGAGUCUGCGUUAUACUCGUAGAUUUCGCUUAAGGAUGGGGCCGCGACCGAUCAGGUUGUUGGUGAGGUAAUGGCUCACCAAGCCUUUUACCGGUGCGGGCCGUGAGGGCGGGAGCCCGGAGAUGGGCACUGAGACAAGGGCCCAGGCCCUACGGGGCGCAGCAGUCGCGAAAACUUUGCAAUACACGAAAGUGUGACAGGGCUAUCCCGAGUGCCAUCCGCUGAGGAAGGCUUUUACCCAGUCUAGAAAGCUGGGAGAAUAAGGAGAGGGCAAGUCUGGUGUCAGCCGCCGCGGUAAUACCAGCUCUCCGAGUGGUGUGGAUGUUUAUUGGGCCUAAAGCAUCCGUAGCUGGCUAAGUUAGUCCCCUGUUAAAUCCAACGAAUUAAUCGUUGGAUCGCGGGGGAUACUGCUUGGCUAGGGGACGAGAGAGGCAGACGGUAUUUCCGGGGUAGGGGUGAAAUCCUAUAAUCCCGGGAAGACCACCAGUGGCGAAGGCUGUCUGCUAGAACGCGCCCGACGGUGAGGGAUGAAAGCUGGGGGAGCGAACCGGAUUAGAUACCCGGGUAGUCCCAGCUGUAAACGAUGCAGGCUAGGUGUUUGGACGGCCACGUGCCGUUCUAGUGCCGCAGGGAAGCUGUUAAGCCUGCCGCCUGGGGAGUACGAUCGCAAGAUUGAAACUUAAAGGAAUUGGCGGGGGAGCACCACAAGGGGUGAAGCUUGCGGUUUAAUUGGAUUCAACGCCGG
rnacentral:rRNA from 1 species